UAGCCCCGCCCCCGCACCGCGCCUAGUGGAGAGCUCGCGGUCUCCGGGGUCUUUUGGCUGCGAGGAGAAGCGAGCUGCGCCUGAGAACUGCCUGCAGGCCUGGCGCUAAAUAAUAAGUUGUUGUUACGUGUUAUGUAUUUAUGUGGCAUCCACCACACGCCUCCGAGAUCCUGGGCGUUUUGAGGUUAAAAAUGUUCAGGCUUGGAGAACCUACCCCUGGAGGAGUGUUAGGGUUUCCGGGCUCGGAUGUCCGCGAGCUUGGCGCCUGACCCAGUUGUGUCUGUCUGGGCGGUGACGUUUGGUCUGAGCUGAUCUUUCCUCACAAUCGUGAAUUUGGGCUGUGAGGAUCAGGCCUUGCCAGAACCCGAGAUGAGAGAUUUCUGGGUCAGUAAGGGUGAGAGCCAGGCUCCAGGCUAUAGUGAAUUUUCCGAGGAGAUUUGUUGGGGUCUUGGCAAGAAUUGAAUGCUGAAGAGAGACAGAAGUAACUGGAAGCGAACAAGACACAAAGUGCUUUGCCAAAGAUCAUUAAGGCUGGGUUUGCAGCACUCCAACUAGAAUACUUUUUCACUGCAGGCCCAGAUGAAGUGCGUGCAUGGACCAUCAGGAAAGAGACUAAGGAUCCUCAGGCUGCAAGGAAAAAUUCACACAGAUUUUGAAAAGGGACGCAUUACGGCUGAAGUAAUGAAAUAUGAAGAUUUUAGAUGGGAAGGUUCUGAAAAUGCAGUCAAGGCUGCUGGAAAGUACAGACAACAAAGCAGAAAUUAUAUUGAAGAAGAUAUUAUAUUGAAAUUAUAUUGAAGAAGAUAUUAUCUUCUUCAAAUUUAACACAACUCAACAACCGAAGAAGAAAGAUAAUGCAUGUUUUAUAGUACUCCAGAUGUCUAUACUCAAUAAAACAUUUGGAAAAAAACAAAAACAAAAACAAACUCCUGGGCAAUCCUACUGCCUCGGCCUCCCAAAGUGCUGAGAUUACAGGCAUGAGCCACUAUGCCACGCCAGCUUUUUUCACUUAGCUUAAUGCUUUCAAGGUUUAUUUAUGUUGCAGAAUGUGUCAGUACUUCAUUCCUUUUUAUGGUCAAAUAAUAUUCCAUUGUAUGGAUAUAUCACAUUUUGUUUAAUCAUUCACCAGAUGAUGGACAUUUAGAUUGUUCUUGUGUUGAUUAUUAUGAAUAAUGCUAUUAUUAACAUUUAUGUACAAGUUUUUAUGUGGAUAUAUGUUUUUAUUUUUCAUGAGUAUAUGUACAAGGAAUGAAGUUGCUGGGUCGUAUGAUAACCUUUUGAGGAACUGCCAGACUAUUUUCCAAAGUGGCUACACCAUUUAGCAUUCCCAGUUGCAGUGCGGGAGAGUGCCAAUUUCUCCACAUUCUAACACUUGUUAUCUAUCUUUUUGAUUAUAGCCAUUCUAGCGGGAAUGAUGUAGUAUCUCAUUUUGAUUUUGAUUUGCAUUUCUCUGAUGGCUAAUGACAUUGAGCAUCUUUUCAUGUGCUCAUUGUCCAUUUGCAUAUCUUCUUUGGAAAAAUGUCUUUUCAGAUGCAUUUUUUAAAGAAGACAAUUAUGGGUUUUAUCUUAAUUGGGUCGUAAGAGUUUUUUUAGAAUAUAUUCUGAAUACAAGUCCCAUAUCAGAUAUAUGAUUUGCAAAUAUUUUCUCUCAUUCUGUGGGUACUUGCACUUUCUUGAUGGUAUUUUUUGAAGCACUAAAAUUUUUAGUUUUCAUGAAUCCCAGUUUAUCUAUUUAUUUCUUUGGUUGCUUGUGCUUUUAAUGUUGUGUCUAAGAAAACAUUCUCUAACCCAAGAAAAUUUACUUUGGGGGGUCAUGGUGGCUCACACCUGUAAUCUCAGCACUUUUGGGAGGCUGAGACUUGAGACCAGGAGUUGAAGAUUAGCCUGGGCAAAAUAGUGAGACCCUGUCUCAAAAAAAAAAAAAAAAUUAAAAAGUAGCCAGGCAUGGUGGCGUAUUUCUGUGGUCCCAGCUACUCAGGAGGCUGAGGUGGGAGGAUUGCUUGAGUCCAGGAGGUGGAGGCUAUAGUGAACCAUGUUCACACCUCUGCACUUCAGCCUGGGUGAGAGUGGGACCCUGUCUCCAAAAACAAAUAAAUAAAUAAAAUUUUAAAUUUA